rnacentral:rRNA from 1 species
UACGUAGGGGGCAAGCGUUGUCCGGAUUUACUGGGCGUAAAGAGCGUGUAGGCGGCCAAGCAGGUCCGUUGUGAAAACUGGAGGCUUAACCUCCAGACGUCGACGGAAACCGCGUGGCUAGAGUCCGGAAGAGGAGAGUGGAAUUCCUGGUGUAGCGGUGAAAUGCGCAGAUAUCAGGAAGAACACCGAUGGCGAAGGCAGGUCUCUGGGCCAUUACUGACACUGAGAAGCGAAAGCAUGGGGAGCGAACAGG